AUUCCAAUCGAACUCGGAGAUAGCUGGUUCUCCCCGAAAUAGCUUUAGGGCUAGCCUCAUAUUAGAUACCCGGAGGUAAAGCACUGAAUGGCCUAGCGCCCGAGAGGGUAGCGAAGCCUAUCAAACUAAGAAUGCCGGAGUAUUGAUGUAUGGGAGUCAGACAGUGUGAGAUAAAUCUCAUUGUCAAAAGGGAAACAGCCCAGAUCUACAGCUAAGGUCCCAAAUUGUAUCUAAGUGGAAAACGAUGUGGAAAUACGCAGACAACCAGGAUGUUGGCUCAGAAGCAGCCACUCAUUUAAAGAGUGCGUAAUAGCUCACUGGUCGAGCGUCUCUGCGCGGAAAAUUUAACGGGGCUAAGAUACAAACCGAAGCUUAGGCUGCACGUAAGUGCGGGGUAGGGGAGCGUUGUGUAAGCGGAGAAACAGUAGCGAAAGCGGCUGUGGAGUUUACAGAAGUGAGAAUGCCGGAAUGAGUAGCGCGAAUGUGGUGAGAAUCCACAUGGCCGGAAACCUCAGGUUUUUGGAGGAAGGUUCGUCCGCUCCAAGUUAGGCGGGAGCUAAGGUCAGGCCGAAAGGCGUAGCCGAUGCACAGACGGUAGAGAUUCCGUCCCCACCGAAAGAUUUAAGCACAGGGACACUUUUUGAAGGUCGGAGCCAGGUGUUGGUUCUGGUAGUGAUCGAGGGAAAUUUAGUACCGAAGUCUGGCUGGAUAAGAGGCGAGAAAAGCUGUGUGUAUAUCUAAGGUGCCCGUACCGCAAACCGACACAGGUAGGUAGGAAGAAGAUUCUAAGGCCAACGGGAGAAGGGUUGUUAAGGAACUCGGCAAGUUGACCCCGUAACUUCGGAAUAAGGGGUGCUCACGAGAGUGAGCCGCAGAGAAUAGGCCCAGGCAACUGUUUACCAAAAACACAGGUUUGUGCUAAAUCGAAAGAUGACGUAUACGAGCUGACGCCUGCCCGGUGCUGGAAGGUUAAAAGGAGAUGUGCAAGCAUUGAAUUGAAGCCCCAGUGAACGGCGGCCGUAACUAUAACGGUCCUAAGGUAGCGAAAUUCCUUGUCAGGUAAGUUCUGACCCGCAUGAAAGGCGUAAUGAUCUGGGCACUGUCUCAACAGCCCGCCCGGCGAAAUUGUAGUACCGGUGAAGAUGCCGGUUACCCGCGACAAGACGGAAAGACCCCAUGGAGCUUUACUGUAGCCUGAUAUUGGGUUUCGGUGUUGCAUGCACAGGAUAGAUGGGACGCUGGGAAAGAAGCGCUUUGGCGUUUCCGGAGCGGACGUUGGGAUACCAUCCUUGCGACAUUGGAAUUCUAACCUGCGCCUCUGAAUCGAGGCGGGGGACAUUGUCAGGUGGGCAGUUUGACUGGGGCGGUCGCCUCCUAAAAAGUAGCGGAGGCGUUCAAAGGUUCGUUCGAUCUGGACGGAAACCAGAUGAUUGAGUGCAAACGCAUAAACGAGCCUGACUGCGAGACUGACGGGUCGAGCAGAGACGAAAGUCGGAGUUAGUGAUCCGGUGGUAUGUGAGUGGAAAUGCCAUCGCUCAACGGAUAAAAGUUACCCUGGGGAUAACAGGCUGAUCUCCCCCAAGAGUCCACAUCGACGGGGAGGUUUGGCACCUCGAUGUCGGCUCAUCGCAUCCUGGGGCUGAAUUCGGUCCCAAGGGUUUGGCUGUUCGCCAAUUAAAGCGGUACGCGAGCUGGGUUCAGAACGUCGUGAGACAGUUCGGUCCCUAUCUGUCGUGGGCGCAGGAUAUUUGAAAGGCGCUGUCCCUAGUACGAGAGGACCGGGAUGGACGAACCUCUGGUGCACCAGUUGUCACGCCAGUGGCACAGCUGGGCAGCUAUGUUCGGAUCGGAUAAACGCUGAAAGCAUCUAAGCGUGAAGCCGGCCUUAAGAUAAGAUAUCCCACUGAGUCAAUCAGGUAAGACCCCUUGAAGACUACAAGGUUGAUAGGCACACAGUGUAAGCGGAGUGAUCCGUUCAGCUAGCGUGUACUAAUAGGUCGAGGGCUUGACCCC
rnacentral:rRNA from 1 species